rnacentral:rRNA from 1 species
GAUGACCGCUAGCGGCAGGCUUAACACAUGCAAGUCGAGGGGUAACAGGGGUUGCUUGCAACCCGCUGACGACCGGCGCACGGGUGCGUAACGCGUAUGCAACCUACCUUCUACAGGGGGAUAGUCAAUAGAAAUGUUGAAUAAUACCCCAUACGAUCAUGAAUUGGCAUCAAUUUAUGAGGAAAGUUCCGGCGGUAGAAGAUGGGCAUGCGUCCUAUUAGUUAGUUGGUGAGGUAACGGCUCACCAAGACAUCGAUAGGUAGGGGUCCUGAGAGGGAGAUCCCCCACACUGGUACUGAGACACGGACCAGACUCCUACGGGAGGCAGCAGUGAGGAAUAUUGGACAAUGGAGGCAACUCUGAUCCAGCCAUGCCGCGUGCAGGAAGACGGCCCUAUGGGUUGUAAACUGCUUUUAUACAGGAAGAAACACCUCCUCGUGAGGGGGUUUGACGGUACUGUACGAAUAAGGAUCGGCUAACUCCGUGCCAGCAGCCGCGGUAAUACGGAGGAUCCAAGCGUUAUCCGGAAUCAUUGGGUUUAAAGGGUCCGUAGGCGGUUUAAUAAGUCAGAGGUGAAAUCCUACAGCUCAACUGUAGAAUUGCCUUUGAUACUGUUAGACUUGAGUUAUUGUGAAGUAGUUAGAAUGUGUAGUGUAGCGGUGAAAUGCAUAGAUAUUACACAGAAUACCGAUUGCGAAAGCAGAUUACUAACAAUACACUGACGCUGAGGGACGAAAGCGUGGGUAGCGAACAGGAUUAGAUACCCUGGUAGUCCACGCCGUAAACGAUGGAUACUAGCUGUUCGACCAACAUUGGUUGGUUGAGUGGCUAAGCGAAAGUGAUAAGUAUCCCACCUGGGGAGUACGCUCGCAAGAGUG